CGUAGGGUGCGAGCGUUAAUCGGAAUUACUGGGCGUAAAGCGUGCGCAGGCGGUUUUGUAAGCCAGAUGUGAAAUCCCCGGGCUUAACCUGGGAAUGGCAUUUGGGACUGCAAGGCUGGAGUUUGGCAGAGGAGACUGGAAUUCCCGGUGUAGCAGUGAAAUGCGUAGAUAUCGGGAGGAAUACCGAUGGCGAAGGCAGGUCUCUGGGCUAUAACUGACGCUCAUGCACGAAAGCGUGGGGAGCAAACAGGAUUAGAUACCCUGGUAGUCCACGCCCUAAACGAUGUCGACUGGUUAUUGGGGGUUUGACACUCUCAGUAACGAAGCUAACGCGUGAAGUCGACCGCCUGGGGAGUACGGCCGCAAGGUUA
rnacentral:rRNA from 1 species